ACCUUGUCAAUUUGCUCAAGAUAUAGCUCAAGACACAACCACUAGUAAAUCAGGUCACUUACUACCCUUAGAUUGCAUGCACUGACUUCAAAAUCCAAUACCUCCUUUACUUCAACUUGGAAUCCAGCAAGCAAUAUACAAAAAGUAUAGCCGGAAAAGUGCUCUCUCUAGUCACAAUCGUCGAUCCUCAAUUACUCGUUAUGACAAAAAGAAUGACAGUAGCUCCCAAAUCAACACCUUAACUUUGAGCACCUAUAUCUCCUUCAUAUAAACUCCAAACUAUAUAAAACUUGUAUCAAAAUCAUAGCCAAAAACCUAAACUUGGUGAUCCUAGCCUUCAAAGCUC
rnacentral:lncRNA from 1 species